rnacentral:rRNA from 1 species
UACGGAGGGUGCAAACGUUGCUCGGAAUCAUUGGGCGUAAAGCGUACGCAGGCGGCUUUGCAAGACAGGUGUGAAAUCCCCGGGCCUAACCUGGGAACUGCAUUUGUGACUGCAUGGCUAGAGUUUGUCAGAGGGGGGUGGAAUUCCACGUGUAGCAGUGAAAUGCGUAGAUAUGUGGAGGAACACCGAUGGCGAAGGCAGCCCCCUGGGAUGUGACUGACGCUCAUGUACGAAAGCGUGGGGAGCAAACAGG